UUUGGGUUUCAUGUUGGAUCGUGGUUUCGCGUCGCAGACGUGACUGGCCGGGUGAUAGCCGAUAUUGUGUGGUUCAGAUCCCACGGCCCUGGUCAAAACAGCAACCAUUGACGCCAUGUUAAUACAUUAUCCCGCUGCAUUGUGGGAGUGCCAGUGAUGAUGAAAAGGGGCGUGCAACGUGCUGCGUUCAGAAACCCGUUGCAUCAUUAACGAUCUGAUGUAAACGUUACUGAUUGGAAAUGUAGCAGAAGACAUAUUUUUUAAAGAGCUGAGACAAGACAUAUGUUGUACCUUUCAUUCCUUUACUUUUUAAGAAGUUGAUGUCUCCGUCAAAAAAGUCUCGGUUACUUU